rnacentral:rRNA from 1 species
UACGUAGGGGGCAAGCGUUGUCCGGAUUUAUUGGGCGUAAAGAGCGUGUAGGCGGCCAGACAGGUCCGUUGUGAAAACUCGAGGCUCAACCUCGAGAUGUCGAUGGAAACCGUCUGGCUAGAGUCCGGAAGAGGAGUGUGGAAUUCCUGGUGUAGCGGUGAAAUGCGCAGAUAUCAGGAAGAACACCUAUAGCGAAGGCAGCACUCUGGGACGGUACUGACGCUGAGACGCGAAAGCGUGGGGAGCGAACAGG